rnacentral:rRNA from 1 species
GACAGCAUCGCCGCGGGAAUACGGAGGAUCCAAGCGUUAUCCGGAAUCAUUGGGUUUAAAGGGUCCGUAGGCGGUCUUGUAAGUCAGUGGUGAAAGCCCAUCGCUCAACGGUGGAACGGCCAUUGAUACUGCAGGACUUGAAUUAUUGGGAAGUAACUAGAAUAUGUAGUGUAGCGGUGAAAUGCUUAGAGAUUACAUGGAAUACCAAUUGCGAAGGCAGGUUACUACCAAUUGAUUGACGCUGAUGGACGAAAGCGUGGGUAGCGAACAGGAUUAGAUACCCCCGUAGUCCCUGUCUCUUAUACA